ACUUGGUGUAAUUUGGUCCACCUCUUCAUUCAUUAAAUGUAAUUUGGUUCACUUUACAAUCGCGUCAGUCUCCCGGCUUCUGUUCCUAUGGUAUAAUUUAUAACCGCUUAUAAACUCUGUAGUAAUAGCUAAUAUCGCCUUCCAUCUGUCUGUCCCCUGGGACCUCCUCUUCGUCCACUAAGUGGAACUGUUGCUUGUCGAUGUUGGGAAAGAAUGUGUCACAGUCAAAUGACUUUUGUAUCUCUGUUAGGUAUAUUUUACGAUUUGGAUGUGGUUUACUUUAUAAUUGCGUCAGUACCCUGGCUUCUGUUCCUAUGGUAUAAUUUAUAACCGCUUAUAAACUCUGUAGUAAUAGCUAAUAUCGCCUUCCAUCUGUCUGUCCCCUGGGACCUCCUCUUCGUCCACCAAGUGGAACUGUUGCUUGUCGAUGUUGGGAAAGAAUGUGUCACAGUCAAAUGACUUCU